rnacentral:rRNA from 1 species
AGUGAACGCUGGCGGUAGGCCUAACACAUGCAAGUCGAACGGCAGCACAGUAAGAGCUUGCUCUUACGGGUGGCGAGUGGCGGACGGGUGAGGAAUACAUCGGAAUCUACUUUUUCGUGGGGGAUAACGUAGGGAAACUUACGCUAAUACCGCAUACGACCUACGGGUGAAAGCAGGGGAUCUUCGGACCUUGCGCGAUUGAAUGAGCCGAUGUCGGAUUAGCUAGUUGGCGGGGUAAAGGCCCACCAAGGCGACGAUCCGUAGCUGGUCUGAGAGGAUGAUCAGCCACACUGGAACUGAGACACGGUCCAGACUCCUACGGGAGGCAGCAGUGGGGAAUAUUGGACAAUGGGCGCAAGCCUGAUCCAGCCAUACCGCGUGAGUGAAGAAGGCCUUCGGGUUGUAAAGCCCUUUUGUUGGGAAAGAAAAGCAGCAGGUUAAUACCCCGCUGUUCUGACGGUACCCAAAGAAUAAGCACCGGCCAACUUCGUG